AUUGAACGCUGGCGGCAUGCUUUACACAUGCAAGUCGAACGGCAGCGGGGAGGAGCUUGCUUCUCUGCCGGCGAGUGGCGAACGGGUGAGUAAUACAUCGGAACGUGUCGAGAAGAGGGGGAUAACCACCCGAAAGGGUGGCUAAUACCGCAUAAAUUCUGAGGAAGAAAGCUGGGGACCUAGGAAUAGGCCUAGCGCUUUUUGAGCGGCCGAUGUCGGAUUAGCUAGUUGGUGAGGUAAAGGCUCACCAAGGCGAAGAUCUGUAGCGGGUCUGAGAGGAUGAUCCGCCACACUGGGACUGAGACACGGCCCAGACUCCUACGGGAGGCAGCAGUGGGGAAUAUUGGACAAUGGGGGCAACCCUGAUCCAGCCAUGCCGCGUGUAUGAAGAAGGCCUUAGGGUUGUAAAGUACUUUUGUUAGGGAAGAAAAGUCAGCUGUGAAUAAUGGCUGAUACUGACGGUACCUAAAGAAUAAGCACCGGCUAACUACGUG
rnacentral:rRNA from 1 species